GAUGAACGCUGGCGGCGUGCUUAACACAUGCAAGUCGAACGGAAAGGCUCCUGCUUGCUGGUGUUCUCGAGUGGCGAUCGGGUGAGUAACACGUGGAUGAUCUGCCCUGCACUUCGGUAUAAGCCUGCGAAACUGGGUCUAAUCUCGGAUAGGACGCUGGUUUGGAUGCCAUUGUGGAAAGUUUUUUUGGUUGGGGAUUAGCUGGCGGCCUAUUCGGUUUUUGGUGGUGUCAUGGCCUACCAAGGCGUCGACGGGUAGCCGUCCUGAGAGGGUGUACGGCGACAUUGGGACUGAGAUACGGCGCAGACUCCUACGGGAGGCAGCAGUGGGGAAUAUUGCACAAUGGGAGCAAGCGUGAUGAAGAGACGUUGGGUGGGGGAAGACGGCCUUCGGGGUGUAAAAAGCUUUAGCUAGAGACGAAGCGCAAGUGACGGUACCUAGAGAAGAAGCACCGGCUAACUACGUG
rnacentral:rRNA from 1 species